UGGGGAAUAUUUCACAAUGGGCGCAAGCCUGAUGCAGCCAUGCCGCUGGUGUGAAGAAGGCCUUUGGGUUGUAAAGCACUUUCAGCGGGGAGGAAGGCGAUAAGGUUAAUAACCUCAUCGAUUGACGUUACCCGCAUAAGAAGCACCGGCUAACUCCGUGCCAGCAGCCGCGGUAAUACGGAGGGUGCAAGCGUUAAUCGGAAUUACUGGGCGUAAAGCGCACGCAGGCGGUCUGUCAAGUCGGAUGUGAAAUCCCCGGGCUCAACCUGGGAACUGCAUUCGAAACUGGCAGGAUAGAGUCGUGUAGAGGAGGGUAGAAUUCCAGGUGUAGCGGUGAAAUGCGUAGAGAUCUGGAGGAAUACCGGUGGCGAAGGAGGCCCCCUGGACAAAGACUGCCGCUAAGGUGCGAAAGCGAGGGGAGCAAACAGG
rnacentral:rRNA from 1 species